UGUUUUUUUAAUUGCAUUACAGAAAAUAAAGAACUUUAUCACAAUAUUCUAAUUUUCUGAGACAGUCCUGUAUGUAAUCUGUGAUCAAUCAAGAGAGGGCAAUCCAAGUUGAAAGCAAGCUCCAUCUUUGUCUCAUCACGAAAACACAACACCAGUUUCCUUCAAUAAAAGGUCAUAAGGUCGUCCCUCUGUGUCUCUGGCUCUCUGCCCCUCUGGCUCAUCAGCUUCAUGCGGCUCAUUCAGUUGUUGCUCUAUGUGAUUCUGUGCCAGCAGUGAAAUACGAUCUGAACGAUGUGAGGAAACACGCCAAGUUAAACAGGAUGAACAACGCAGCCACGUUGUUCGUCUUUUUCACCGUCCUCGUCAACAUCUUCAUCACAGCACUGGGAUUCGAGGGAUACUCUGUCAGGUCACCAAUGUCACCUGUGAUGUUGCCAGAGCAUCAUCUCUCCCUCCUGCCCAACAACCUCAACAAGACUUCAGGCUUUUAGUCUUCAGCCACCUGUCACAGGAGCAAAACAAAGACCUAUCUGACAUCUCAAAGUCUUCAAAGCUAAGACUAAUGGAGGGACAGGAAGCAGCUGUUUAUAACUUCUGAUCAGCUCCCUGCUCCACCAGCUGACUCACCCUGAAAGGAUUCAAUGGAUCUACAAUCACAUCAGCAGUGAGAGGCUUUUGUGGAUUCAUGGGGAAACCCAGAUAACCUGAGGGACCGCGGACUAACCUCCACUCACUGCUGUUGAACUCAAUGCAACCAACGAUUGACUACCAAAAACCUCAACUCAAUCACAUGACCACUGCCGUGAGAUAAUAAGAUUCCAAAGACUAAUGCAGAACAAUUAUUUUGAUCUUGUAAAUAUAUUUUUGUUCACAUGUUAGAUUGUUGGAAUAAAUCUUAAAUUUUGUAACUAAA